rnacentral:rRNA from 1 species
GAUGAACGCUGGCGGCGUGCUUAACACAUGCAAGUCGAACGAAGCACUCUGAUUACUCGGUUUGAAGAGUGACUGAGUGGCGGACGGGUGAGUAACGCGUGGGUAACCUGCCUCAUACAGGGGGAUAACAGUUAGAAAUGGCUGCUAAUACCGCAUAAGCGCACAGUACCGCAUGGUACGGUGUGAAAAACUCCGGUGGUAUGAGAUGGACCCGCGUCUGAUUAGCUAGUUGGUGAGGUAACGGCUCACCAAGGCGACGAUCAGUAGCCGACCUGAGAGGGUGACCGGCCACAUUGGGACUGAGAUACGGCCCAGACUCCUACGGGAGGCAGCAGUGGGGAAUAUUGCGCAAUGGGGGCAACCCUGACGCAGCAACGCCGCGUUGAGGAUGACGGUUUUCGGAUUGUAAACUCAUGUCGGGUGGGAAGAUAAUGACGGUACCACCGGAGAAAGUCACGGCUAACUACGUG